UUGGAGGGCAAGUCUGGUGCCAGCAGCCGCGGUAAUUCCAGCUCCAAUAGCGUAUAUUAAAGUUGUUGCAGUUAAAAAGCUCGUAGUUAAAUCUCGAGAUCAAUUUGUCGGUCGUGCCUCGGUACGUACUGGCAUUAUUGAUUUCUCCCUUCUGAAGAACCGCGAUGUCAUUAAUUUGGUGUCGUGGGGAAUCAGGACUGUUACUUUGAAAAAAUUAGAGUGUUUAAAGCAGGCGCACGCUUGAAUACAUUAGCAUGGAAUAAUGAAAUAGGACGUUUGAUUCUAUUUUGUUGGUUUCUAGGAUCGACGUAAUGAUUAAUAGGGAUAGUUGGGGGCAUUAGUAUUCAAUUGUCAGAGGUGAAAUUCUUGGAUUUAUUGAAGACUAACUACUGCGAAAGCAUUUGCCAAGGAUGUUUUCAUUAAUCAAGAACGAAAGUUAGGGGAUCGAAGACGAUCAGAUACCGUCGUAGUCUUAACCAUAAACUAUGCCGACUAGGGAUCGGAUGAUGUUAAUUUUUUAAUGACUCAUUCGGCGCCUUACGGGAAAC
rnacentral:rRNA from 1 species